UGUGAGGUCUAUCCCAACGGGCCCUUCACCAUAGGGCCAUGUUGUUGGAAAUGCCUCAGAGAGGAAGUCUGCAGUUCGCUUUACCCACAUGUUCAGUGUGAGCCUGCUGGGAUAUGACUGCAAACACUC
ensembl:snoRNA